UACGUAGGGUGCAAGCGUUGUCCGGAAUUAUUGGGCGUAAAGAGCUCGUAGGCGGUCUGUUGCGUCCGCUGUGAAAACCCGGGGCUUAACCCCUGGCUUGCAGUGGAUACCGACAGACUAGAGGUAGGUAGGGGAGAAUGGAAUUCCCGGUGUAGCGGUGAAAUGCGCAGAUAUCAGGAGGAACCCCAAUAGCGAAGGCGGCUCGCUGGGACGGUACUGACGCUAAGGCGCGAAAGCGUGGGGAGCGAACAGG
rnacentral:rRNA from 1 species